UACAGAGGGGGCAAGCGUUGUUCGGAAUUAUUGGGCGUAAAGCGCGCGUAGGCGGCUACUUAAGUCGGAUGUGAAAGCCCUUGGCUCAACUGAGGAAGUGCACCCGAAACUGAGUGGCUUGAGUACUAAAGAGGGUCGCGGAAUUCCCGGUGUAGAGGUGAAAUUCGUAGAUAUCGGGAGGAACACCGGUGGCGAAGGCGGCAUCCUGGACCGGCAUUGACGCUGAGGAGCGAAAGCUAGGGGAGCAAACGGG
rnacentral:rRNA from 1 species